AAAGUCGUAACAAGGUCUCCGUAGGUGAACCUGCGGAGGGAUCAUUACCGAGUGCGGGCCCUCGCGCCCAACCUCCCAACCCUUUGUCGAUUCGUAUCUGUUGCCUCGGGGGGCGACCCGGACGUCACGUCCGGGAGUCCCCCAGAGGUCCAACCCAACACACUGCGUCUUUGCGUCGGAGUAUUGAAAACAAAUCAAUCAAAACUUUCAGCAACGGAUCUCUUGGUUCUG
rnacentral:misc_RNA from 1 species